rnacentral:rRNA from 1 species
UACGUAGGGGGCAAGCGUUGUCCGGAAUCAUUGGGCGUAAAGAGCGCGUAGGCGGUCCGGUAAGUCCGCUGUGAAAGUCAAGGGCUCAACCCUUGGAUGCCGGUGGAUACUGCCGGGCUAGAGUCCGGAAGAGGCGAGUGGAAUUCCUGGUGUAGCGGUGAAAUGCGCAGAUAUCAGGAGGAACACCAAUGGCGAAGGCAGCUCGCUGGGACGGUACUGACGCUGAGGCGCGAAAGCGUGGGGAGCAAACAGGAUUAGAAACCCCUGUAGUCC